GGAAACCGUCAUGGUUAACUUUUCCAUUGUCUGUUAGGUCAUAUUUGUUAUGCUUUUCAUAUUCCCUUCUUACCUUAAAAAAAAAAAAGGUAGGUCAAUAUUUUUUUUUUUUAUCCUUCCAGCAAAACAGUUUGAAAGCAAAUAAGAAUAUCUUCCUUUUCCCUGGGAAAGAUGGUCAAGCUUCGUGCUAUUGAACAGAAAUGUAGGGGAAGAAAACGGUCUUGUUUGAGUAACAAAAAUAUAUUCAUCUACUGUAUGCCUUUGUUUUUUAGGCAGCACAGUCAGUGCUGAUUUCAUUAUUUGAACUCAAUACCCCAGAGUUUACAAUGUUAUUAGGAGCUUUACCAAAAACUUUUCAGGAUGGUGCUACCAAGCUUCUUCAUAAUCACCUUCGAAACACUGGCAAUGGAACCCAGAGUUCCAUGGGGAGUCCUUUGACAAGACCAACACCACGAUCACCAGCUAACUGGUCCAGUCCUCUUACUUCUCCUACCAAUACAUCACAGAAUACUUUAUCUCCAAGUGCAUUUGAUUAUGACACAGAAAAUAUGAACUCUGAAGAUAUUUAUAGCUCUCUUAGAGGUGUCACUGAAGCAAUCCAGAAUUUCAGCUUCCGUAGCCAAGAAGAUAUGAAUGAGCCAUUGAAAAGGGAUUCUAAAAAAGAUGAUGGCGAUUCAAUGUGUGGUGGUCCUGGGAUGUCUGACCCAAGAGCAGGAGGUGAUGCUACUGACUCAAGCCAAACAGCUCUUGAUAAUAAAGCUUCAUU
rnacentral:sRNA from 1 species